GCAUAUCAAUAAGCGGAGGAAAAGAAACCAACAGGGAUUGCCUCAGUAACGGCGAGUGAAGCGGCAACAGCUCAAAUUUGAAAUCUGGCCUCUCGGGGUCCGAGUUGUAAUUUGUAGAGGAUGUUUUGGGCACCGCCUCGGUCUAAAUUUCUUGGAACAGAAUGUCAAAGAGGGUGAGAAUCCCGUCUUGGAUCGGCGGUAGGGCCUGUGUAAAACUCCUUCGACGAGUCGAGUUGUUUGGGAAUGCAGCUCAAAAUGGGUGGUAAAUUUCAUCUAAAGCUAAAUAUUGGCCAGAGACCGAUAGCGCACAAGUAGAGUGAUCGAAAGAUGAAAAGCACUUUGAAAAGAGAGUUAAACAGUAUGUGAAAUUGUUGAAAGGGAAGCGCUUGCAACCAGACUUGUGCGCGGUGGUUCCCCUCGCCUUUUGGCUAGGGUACUCCGCCGCGUCCAGGCCAACAUCGGUUUUGGGGGUCAGUUAAAGGCCUUGGGAAUGUACCUACCUACGGGUAGACUUAUAGACCAGGGUGCCAUGUGACCUCCCGGGACCGAGGAACGCGCUUCGGCUCGGAUGUUGGCGUAAUGGUUGUCAGCGACCCGUCUUGAAACACGGACC
rnacentral:rRNA from 2 species